rnacentral:pre_miRNA from 1 species
AUUGUAUUAGACUAUAUUCAACUGUAUUCAUGGCGUGAAACAGGGGAUUACACUGUUUUAAAUGAAAAGUGAAUCAAUUAACAUAAUACCCCAGA